UACGUAGGCAGCAAGCGUUGUUCGGAAUUACUGGGCGUAAAGAGUGUGUAGGCGGUGCUCCAAGUCUGGUGUGAAAUCUCCCGGCUUAACUGGGAGGGUGCAUUAGAAACUGGAAUGCUAGAGGAUGGGAGAGGUAAGCGGAAUUCCUGGUGUAGCGGUGAAAUGCGUAGAUAUCAGGAGGAACACCUGUGGUGUAGACAGCUUACUGGACCAUUUCUGACGCUGAGGCACGAAAGCUAGGGGAGCAAACAGG
rnacentral:rRNA from 1 species